GAUGAACGCUGGCGGCGUGCCUAAUACAUGCAAGUCGAGCGAACAGACGAGGAGCUUGCUCCUCUGACGUUAGCGGCGGACGGGUGAGUAACACGUGGAUAACCUACCUAUAAGACGUGGAUAACAUCGGGAAACCGGAGCUAAUACCAGAAAAUAUAUUGAACGGCAUAGUGCAAUAGUGAAUGACACCUUUGCUGUCACUUUGAGCUGGAUCCGCGCCGCAUUAGCUAGUUGGUAAGGUAACGGCUUACCAAGGCAACGAUGCGUAGCCGACCUGAGAGGGUGAUCGGCCACACUGGAACUGAGACACGGUCCAGACUCCUAAGGGAGGCAGCAGUAGGGAAUCUUGCGCAAUGGGCGAAAGCCUGACGGAGCAACGCCGCGUGAGUGAUGAAGGUCUUCGGAUCGUAAAACUCUGUUAUUAGGGAAGAAAAAAUGUGUAAGUAACUAUGAACGUCUUGACGGUACCCAAUCAGAAAGCCACGGCUAACUACGUG
rnacentral:rRNA from 1 species